UGUUUGUUUCAGAUCAAUGGUCAGCUUUGUCAUUGACACAACAGAGUGGCAGCUGACAGACCUUGUUGAAAGAUUUCAAGAGGAGGGGACUGAUGAGGAGAGUUUUCUUCUUUUAGAAGAGGCUACCAUCAACAGUUGAUCCCAAGAGCUGGCCCUGGGCUGAAG